GUCUAUGGCCAUGCCACCCUGAACACGCCUGAUCCUGUCUGAUCUUGGGAGUUAAGCAGAGUUGGGCCUGGUUAGUACUUGGAUGGGAGACCACCUAGGAAGACCAGGUGCUGUAGGUG
rnacentral:rRNA from 1 species